UACGUAGGGGGCGAGCGUUGUCCGGAAUCAUUGGGCGUAAAGCGCGUGUAGGCGGUUCAGUAAGUCUGCUGUGAAAAUCCGGGGCUCAACCCCGGACUUGCAGUGGGUACGGGCAGACUAGAGUGUGGUAGGGGAGACUGGAAUUCCUGGUGUAGCGGUGAAAUGCGCAGAUAUCAGGAGGAACACCGAUGGCGAAGGCAGGUCUCUGGGCCACUACUGACGCUGAGAAGCGAAAGCAUGGGGAGCGAACAGG
rnacentral:rRNA from 1 species